AUUUUGAUUAUGUCCAGUUUUUUGCAGUUAUAAACAAAACCUCACCUAAUGAACAUCCUUAUGCUUCAAUCUUUGCCCAUGUCCCUAAAAGACAUAUCCUAAGGGUCAAUUCUGGGAUUGCUAGGACAAAGGACAUACAUAUUUCUAGGGCUUUUGAUACAGAUUGCUGGUUUGCUCACCAGUUGGACCAGUCUACACUCCCAUCAACAGUUGUAGUAAUUCAUAUUUCUAAUGCUUCUGAAAUUAUAAAUAAAAGUUUUUAAAAAUAUGAUUCUUUCAGUUCACCUGAGCUACUUGAAGACCCAGAAAAAUUGAUUCUUACUUGUCUUUGUUAUCAAGACCCUGUUUCAUACCUAAGUACUGGUGAAACUAAUUAUCCCAGAGAGUUUUUGAGCAUAUGGGUAGUGUUUGUGAAUUUAAGUUUGUUCCCCACAUUGUCAGUUUAUUCUAAAAUUAUCACCAUUUUAGACUUAAAGAAUUUUAAAGCCAAAAGAUAAGCAAACAGACUUGCUUAGGUCCUGUAGCAAAUUAAUUCAGACCUUGAACAACAUUUCAUUGUGCUGUUUAGGAAGUGUUAAGUAUAUUGAGAUUUUCCAUAUUACUGUGUUACUAUCAUACUUAAAUUUUAGAAGAUGAUCAAAUUAUUUUAAUGACUAGGACUAUGCUUAUGAAGUUAGCAUUUCCUGCCCUUAUUUAUAGAAAGCACUUGAUAUAUUUCACAAAGGUGAGGAGAUUAACUUUUUAGGGAACAAGUCAUUUAAAUUCUUGAAC
rnacentral:lncRNA from 10 species